rnacentral:rRNA from 1 species
UACGUAGGGGGCAAGCGUUGUCUGGAAUUAUUGGGCGUAAAGCGCGCGCAGGCGGUCGAUUUAGUCGGGUGGUUAAGCUCGGGGCUCAACCCCGAGUCACACCGGAAACUGGCUGACUUGAGUGCAGAAGAGGAGAGUGGAAUUCCACGUGUAGCGGUGAAAUGCGUAGAUAUGUGGAGGAACACCGGUGGCGAAGGCGACUCUCUGGCCUGUAACUGACGCUGAGGCGCGAAAGCGUGGGGAGCAAACAGG